rnacentral:rRNA from 1 species
AUUGAACGCUGGCGGCAGGCUUAACACAUGCAAGUCGAACGAGUGGCGGACGGGUGAGUAAUGCUUGGGAAUCUAGCUUAUGGAGGGGGAUAACUACGGGAAACUGUAGCUAAUACCGCGUACCAUAGGAUGAGCCCAAGUGGGAUUAGGUAGUUGGUGAGGUAAAGGCUCACCAAGCCGACGAUCGCUAGCUGGUCUGAGAGGCUGACCAGCCACACUUGGACUGAGACACGGCCCAGACUCCUACGGGAGGCAGCAGUGGGGAAUAUUGCCCAAUGGGGGAAACCUGACGCAGCAACGCCGCGUGGAGGAUGACACUUUUCGGAGCGUAAACUCCUUCGGUACCUUAUGAAUAAGCACCGGCUAACUCCGUGCCAGCAGCCGCGGUAAUAC